UGCAGUCGAACGAGCACUUCGGUGCUAGUGGCGGACGGGUGAGUAACACGUAAGCAAUCUGCCCAGAAGUGGGGAAUAACUUGCCGAAAGGCGAGCUAAUUCCGCAUGUGAUGUCUCUUCCCUGGAGGAGCCAUUAAAGGCGCAAGCCGCUUCUGGAGGAGCUUGUGGCCGAUUAGCUUGUUGGUGGGGUAAUGGCCUACCAAGGCGACGAUCGGUAGCUGGUCUGAGAGGACGGUCAGCCACACGGGGACUGAGAUACGGCCCCGACUCCUACGGGAGGCAGCAGCUAGGAAUCUUGGGAAUGGGCGAAAGCCUGACCCAGCAACGCCGCGUGGGCGAUGAAGGCCUUCGGGUCGUAAAGCCCUUUUGCAGGGGACGAUGAUGACGGUACCCUGCGAAUAAGCCACGGCUAACUACGUGCCAGCAGCCGCGGUAAUACGUAGGUGGCAAGCGUUGUCCGGAUUUACUGGGCGUAAAGGGCGUGCAGGCGGUCUGUUAAGUCUAGGGUGAAAGCUCCCGGCUCAACUGGGAGAGGUCCUUGGAUACUGGCGGACUUGAGGGAGGCAGAGGAAAGUGGAAUUCCCGGUGUAGUGGUGAUAUGCGUAGAUAUCGGGAGGAACACCAGUGGCGAAGGCGGCUUUCUGGGCCUUACCUGACGCUGAGACGCGAAAGCGUGGGGAGCGAACCGGAUUAGAUACCCGGGUAGUCCACGCCGUAAACUAUGGACACUA
rnacentral:rRNA from 1 species